rnacentral:rRNA from 1 species
GAGUUUGAUCCUGGCUCAGGAUGAACGCUGGCGGCGUGCUUAACACAUGCAAGUCGAACGGACUCAUAUUGAAACCUAGUGAUGUAUGAGUUAGUGGCGGACGGGUGAGUAACGCGUGGAAAACCUGCCGUAUACUGGGGGAUAACACUUAGAAAUAGGUGCUAAUACCGCAUAAGCGCACAGCUUCGCAUGAAGCAGUGUGAAAAACUCCGGUGGUAUACGAUGGUUCCGCGUCUGAUUAGCUAGUUGGCGGGGUAACGGCCCACCAAGGCGACGAUCAGUAGCCGGCCUGAGAGGGUGAACGGCCACAUUGGGACUGAGACACGGCCCAAACUCCUACGGGAGGCAGCAGUGGGGAAUAUUGCACAAUGGGGGAAACCCUGAUGCAGCGACGCCGCGUGAGUGAAGAAGUAUCUCGGUACGUAAAGCUCUAUCAGCAGGAAAGAAAAUGACGGUACCUGACUAAGAAGCCCCGGCUAACUACGUGCCAGCAGCCGCGGUAAUACGUAGGGGGCAAGCGUUAUCCGGAUUUACUGGGUGUAAAGGGAGCGUAGACGGCAGUGCAAGUCUGGAGUGAAAUGCCGGGGCUCAACCCCGGAACUGCUUU